ACCCAGCAAGCUGUGUUUCCAGGCUAUCAUGGAAGGCAGCAACACCAGAUGCCCAGUUCUUGUCCCUGUACCAGUUAGUGGGUCUCAGCAGCACGGCUGCUCUCUUCCUUGCAGAGUAAAUCACCUAGGCUCCCUUUUGCCCUAUGGUGCUAAUAUCCAUGAGGACUCUUCCCGUCCUCUGCAUCCAGCUAUGGGAGGAAAAUAAAGCAAGGAAAAUUGCAUAUUAACACUUUUUGUUUGAAAGUGCCACAUAGUAUUCUUCCCACUUUCCAUUCUAUUAGUGAGAGCUGGUCAGGUGACCAAAACUAGAUGUAAAGGAGGUGGAACUGGAAAAUAGACUGUCUGCUAGACAACUGUUCUCUAUGGGGAAACAGGAGCACAACUUUUUGAACAGUUAGCCUUCUGCCAAAUUGUCCCUGAUGUUUUGGCACAAAUGAAACAUGUUUAUUUCUGUUCUUCUUGUCUCAUUGUAUUUGGUACACAAGCAAACCCUCCUAAUUUAUUAAAUUCUAAUUAAGGCAAGACUGAAUUAUUUCAACCUAGAAGUUUCUACUCACUUGAUGAAGGGUAACAAAAAUAUUUACUUUCUUUGGUAAUUAAUAAAGACUUCUGAAAGUUUUGACUAAGGGCCCCAAAGUUUUGUUAUCUGAUUAUCUUCACUUAUAUUGAC
rnacentral:lncRNA from 1 species